AAUCCAUAGGUUAAUGAGGCGAACCGGGGGAACUGAAACAUCUAAGUACCCCGAGGAAAAGAAAUCAACCGAGAUUCCCCCAGUAGCGGCGAGCGAACGGGGAGGAGCCCAGAGCCUGAAUCAGCAUGUGUGUUAGUGGAAGCGUCUGGAAAGGCGCGCGAUACAGGGUGAGAGCCCCGUACACAAAAGCGCACGUGCUGUGAGCUCGAUGAGUAGGGCGGGACACGUGGUAUCCUGUCUGAAUAUGGGGGGACCAUCCUCCAAGGCUAAAUACUCCUGACUGACCGAUAGUGAACCAGUACCGUGAGGGAAAGGCGAAAAGAACCCCGGCGAGGGGAGUGAAACAGAACCUGAAACCGUGUACGUACAAGCAGUGGGAGCCCCACCACUAAGCCAGUGGUGAACUCCACAUACGCAUCCUUUGCUGAGGAUACGGU
rnacentral:rRNA from 1 species